rnacentral:lncRNA from 1 species
AAAUUGCUCAAGUGAAGUACAUUUUGCAGGACUGGAGAUGUUUAAUGAUCAUCAGAAAAAAGCAGCCAGCGGAGUAGAAGAGAGGUGAUACAAGCCUUGGUUCCCCACCAAAGUCAAGGAGAAGGUCUGAGCAGAGCAACAGUGAGGACAUCAGGGUCUGGAAGCAGGACUUCUACACUCACCGUCACGUAUUCUGGCAGAGCUGUGGAAAUUCACCUGCAGCGUUACAUCAUUAGGGCCUGCCUUAAAAGGCCUAAAAGAAGAGGCUUCACCUCUCCGAAGUGCGGCACCCAAGCCCUGGCUGCGAGCGCAACAGCUUGCUUGGAAAGGUACUGAGACAGCAGGGAGUCACAGAAUGAAGCUGGAGUUGCCUGGAGCAGUGCUACUGCCCACUCCCAUUGGCUGACCUCAUCCAUCUAUACGCAGGGGAGAGACUACACUUCCUCGGAGAAAUCCACCACCAGACCUCUCAGGGCAGUGGGGUCCCACAGCACAUCAGGACAACUCUUGCAGAAAACCACACCAGACAAGCCUUUGCAGAAGAGCUGUUUCAGAGCAGGUGGGCCCAGUGCUGGCCUCACUGACAGCUAUGCUGGACUGUAUGUAACGGAGACGAUCUUGGCCAGUUUGAUGCAGCAGCGAGCCUUGCUGACACAGCCCCUCCACCUCCCUCCAUGCUGUACUUACCCUCCUUGGAUCUGCAGAAAGCAUCUGC